rnacentral:rRNA from 1 species
AUUGAACGCUGGCGGCAGGCUUAACACAUGCAAGUCGAGCGGGGUGAUGGUGCUUGCACUAUCACUUAGCGGCGGACGGGUGAGUAAUGCUUAGGAAUCUGCCUAUUAGUGGGGGACAACAUCUCGAAAGGGAUGCUAAUACCGCAUACGUCCUACGGGAGGAAGCAGGGGAUCACUUGUGACCUUGCGCUAAUAGAUGAGCCUAAGUCGGAUUAGCUAGUUGGUGGGGUAAAGGCCUACCAAGGCGACGAUCUGUAGCGGGUCGGAGAGGAUGAUCCGCCACACUGCGACUGAGACACGGCCCAGACUCCUACGGGAGGCAGCAGUGGGGAAUAUUGGACAAUGGGGGGAACCCUGAUCUAGCCAUGCCGCGUGUGUGAAGAAGGCCUUAUGGUUGUAAAGCACUUUAAGCGAGGAGGAGGCUCUUUUGGUUAAUACCCAAGAUGAGUGGACGUUACUCGCAGAAUAAGCACCGGCUAACUCUGUGCCAGCCGCCGCGGUAA